rnacentral:rRNA from 1 species
CAAUAGCGUAUAUUAAAGUUGUUGCGGUUAAAAAGCUCGUAGUUGGAUUUCUGCCGAGGACGACCGGUCCGCCCUCUGGGUGAGUAUCUGGCUCGGCCUGGGCAUCUUCUUGGAGAACGUAGCUGCACUUGACUGUGUGGUGCGGUAUCCAGGACUUUUACUUUGAGGAAAUUAGAGUGUUUCAAGCAGGCUUACGCCUUGAAUACAUUAGCAUGGAAUAAUAAGAUAGGACCUCGGUUCUAUUUUGUUGGUUUCUAGAGCUGAGGUAAUGAUUAAUAGGGAUAGUUGGGGGCAUUCGUAUUUAACUGUUAGAGGUGAAAUUCUUGGAUUUGUUAAAGACGGACUACUGCGAAAGCAUUUGCCAAGGAUGUUUNCAUUG